rnacentral:lncRNA from 1 species
CGGAAGCCAAUUCAUGACUGGAAGAACAGAGGUAUUUUAUCGCUUGAAAGGUUUAAUUAUCGAAUAUUGAUAGCUGAGUGUGGGUUUCGAUUUCCUAAAAUGUGUAAAUCUUAAAAUACAAUUUAAUCCUUGAUUCCUUGUUGUUUUAAUCAAUUUGAUAAUUUUAUGAUCAAAGAUCCAUGCAUAAGAAUUGAACAGCAACUUUGUGUGCUUACUACAGAGAAAGGUUAGAGAAACAAUUGUGUAGGCAAUGCAACAUAUUGGUGAUGUCACAUUAGCCCAUACUUGAUCGCCAUCAAACCUUCUCCUAGUGGAUCUGCAUGCCUAUUACCUCCAUUUUUGCCCCAAGUGUCAUGAAGGCCAUUGAUUUGCACUCUGCAUCCGUUUG